rnacentral:tRNA from 1 species
GGUGCCGUGGCUCAUUGGUUAGAGCGCCUGCCUCAUGAACGGGAGGGCGUGGGUUCAAACCCCGGCCGAGUCA